rnacentral:misc_RNA from 1 species
UCACGUCUUACGACGGCAGUCUCCCUAGAGUGCCCUUGCGUAGCAACUAGGGACAAGGGUUGCGCUCGUUGCGGGACUUAACCCAACAUCUCACGACACGAGCUGACGACAGCCAUGCAGCACCUGUGUUACGGCUCCCUUUCGGGCACACCCAGCUCUCGCUGGGCUUCCGUACAUGUCAAGGGUAGGUAAGGUUAUUCGCGUUGCAUCGAAUUAAUCCACAUCAUCCACCGCUUGUGCGGGUCCCCGUCAAUUCCUUUGAGUUUUAAUCUUGCGACCGUACUCCCCAGGCGGACAACUUCACGCGUUAGCUGCGCCACUAAGAGCUCAAGGCUCCCAACGGCUAGUUGACAUCGUUUACGGCGUGGACUAC